rnacentral:rRNA from 1 species
AGAGUUUCAUUCUGGCUCAGGAUGAACGCUGGCGGCGUGCCUAAUACAUGCAAGUCGAACGAAACUUCUUUAUCACCGAGUGCUUGCACUCACCGAUAAAGAGUUGAGUGGCGAACGGGUGAGUAACACGUGGGCAACCUGCCCAAAAGAGGGGGAUAACACUUGGAAACAGGUGCUAAUACCGCAUAACCAUAGUUACCGCAUGGUAACUAUGUAAAAGGUGGCUAUGCUACCGCUUUUGGAUGGGCCCGCGGCGCAUUAGCUAGUUGGUGAGGUAAAGGCUUACCAAGGCAAUGAUGCGUAGCCGAACUGAGAGGUUGAUCGGCCACAUUGGGACUGAGACACGGCCCAAACUCCUACGGGAGGCAGCAGUAGGGAAUCUUCCACAAUGGGCGAAAGCCUGAUGGAGCAACGCCGCGUGGGUGAAGAAGGUCUUCGGAUCGUAAAACCCUAUUGUUAGAGAAGAAAGUGCGUGAGCGUAACUGUUCACGUUUCGACGGUAUCUAACCAGAAAGCCACGGCUAACUACGUGCCAGCAGCCGCGGUAAUACGUAGGUGGCAAGCGUUAUCCGGAUUUAUUGGGCGUAAAGGGAACGCAGGCGGUCUUUUAAGUCUGAUGUGAAAGCCUUCGGCUUAACCGGAGUAGUGCAUUGGAAACUGGGAGACUUGAGUGCAGAAGAGGAGAGUGGAACUCCAUGUGUAGCGGUGAAAUGCGUAGAUAUAUGGAAGAACACCAGUGGCGAAAGCGGCUCUCUGGUCUGUAACUGACGCUGAGGUUCGAAAGCGUGGGUAGCAAACAGGAUUAGAUACCCUGGUAGUCCACGCCGUAAACGAUGAAUGCUAAGUGUUGGAGGGUUUCCGCCCUUCAGUGCUGCAGCUAACGCAAUAAGCAUUCCGCCUGGUGAGUACGACCGCAAGGUUGAAACUCAAAGGAAUUGACGGGGGCCCGCACAAGCGGUGGAGCAUGUGGUUUAAUUCGAAGCAACGCGAAGAACCUUGCCAGGUCUUGACAUCUUCUGACAAUCCUAGAGAUAGGACUUUCCCUUCGGGGACAGAAUGACAGGUGGUGCAUGGUUGUCGUCAGCUCGUGUCGUGAGAUGUUGGGUUAAGUCCCGCAACGAGCGCAACCCUUAUUGUUAGUUGCCAGCAUUAAGUUGGGCACUCUAGCAAGACUGCCGGUGACAAACCGGAGGAAGGUGGGGAUGACGUCAAAUCAUCAUGCCCCUUAUGACCUGGGCUACACACGUGCUACAAUGGACGGUACAACGAGUCGCAAGACCGCGAGGUUUAGCAAAUCUCUUAAAGCCGUUCUCAGUUCGGAUUGUAGGCUGCAACUCGCCUACAUGAAGUCGGAAUCGCUAGUAAUCGCGGAUCAGCAUGCCGCGGUGAAUACAUUCCCGGGCCUUGCACUCACCGCCCGUCA